CCUACGGGAGGCAGCAGUGGGGAAUAUUGGACAAUGGGCGAAAGCCUGAUCCAGCAACGCCGCGUGGAGGACGAAGGCCUUCGGGUUGUAAACUCCUGUCAGGUGGGGCGAAAAGGCAUCGGUUAAUACCCGGUGUCCCUGACGGUACCACCAGAGGAAGCCCCGGCUAACUCCGUGCCAGCAGCCGCGGU
rnacentral:rRNA from 1 species